AGUGAACGCUGGCGGUAGGCCUAACACAUGCAAGUCGAACGGCAGCACAGUAAGAGCUUGCUCUUACGGGUGGCGAGUGGCGGACGGGUGAGGAAUACAUCGGCAUCUACUUUUUCGUGGGGGAUAACGUAGGGAAACUUACGCUAAUACCGCAUACGACCUACGGGUGAAAGCAGGGGAUCUUCGGACCUUGCGCGAUUGAAUGAGCCGAUGUCGGAUUAGCUAGUUGGCGGGGUAAAGGCCCACCAAGGCGACGAUCCGUAGCUGGUCUGAGAGGAUGAUCAGCCACACUGGAACUGAGACACGGUCCAGACUCCUACGGGAGGCAGCAGUGGGGAAUAUUGGACAAUGGGCGCAAGCCUGAUCCAGCCAUACCGCGUGAGUGAAGAAGGCCUUCGGGUUGUAAAGCCCUUUUGUUGGGAAAGAAAAGCAGCAGGUUAAUACCCCGCUGUUCCGACGGUACCCAAAGAAUAAGCACCGGCUAACUUCGUG
rnacentral:rRNA from 1 species